rnacentral:sRNA from 1 species
ACUCAACGUUAUUACAUUUAAAAAGGGUGAGUUUAAGUUGUAAAAGCGGGCCCUACUCGCAUAGGGAUUCUUGAGCAGCUUGUUAGCCCUAAACCUGUUAUUUAGGAGUUU